UACAGAGGUGGCAAGCGUUGUUCGGAUUUACUGGGCGUAAAGGGUGCGUAGGUGGUUUGCCGUGUCGAAUGUGAAAUCCCAAGGCUCAACCUUGGAAUGGCGUUCGAAACUGGCGAACUCGAGUGCAGGAUGGGAGAGCGGAAUUCUUGGUGUAGCGGUGAAAUGCGUUGAUAUCAAGAAGAACACCGGUGGCGAAGGCGGCUCUCUGGAAUGCAACUGACACUGAGGCACGAAAGCUGGGGGAGCAAACAGG
rnacentral:rRNA from 1 species